rnacentral:rRNA from 1 species
ACGGAAGGCAGCAGUGGGGGAUAUUGCACAAUGGGGGAAACCCUGAUGCAGCGACGCCGCGUGAGUGAAGAAGUAUUUCGGUAUGUAAGGCUCUAUCAGCAGGGAAGAAAAUGACGGUACCUGACUAAGAAGCUCCGGCUAAAUACGUGCCAGCAGCCGCGGUAAUACGUAUGGAGCAAGCGUUAUCCGGAUUUACUGGGUGUAAAGGGAGCGUAGACGGCGAGGCAAGUCUGAUGUGAAAGCCAUGGGCUCAACCCAUGAACUGCAUUGGAAACUGUCUUGCUAGAGUGUCGGAGAGGUAAGCGGAAUUCCUAGUGUAGCGGUGAAAUGCGUAGAUAUUAGGAGGAACACCAGUGGCGAAGGCGGCUUACUGGACGAUAACUGACGUUGAGGCUCGAAAGCGUGGGGAGCAAACAGGAUUAGAUACCCUGGUA